rnacentral:lncRNA from 1 species
CAGUUUGGCUUCCCUGUUCUGGGUGGCAAAGCCUGUGGAGUACUCACCUACCUGCUGCAUGAAGGCAGCAUGGAGGGACUGUGGUGGAUUAUCUGCAAAGAUGGCCAAAAUUCUCUCAUCCCUGCAGGCACAUACAAGAAGAACUGAAGCUCAGCUCUUCACCCUACAGAAAGCCUGAAUUUUGUAAAUGUUCUGCUUAGAAUGAGGAAGAAAGAUGAAGAAUGAGGAGGAAGAAGGAAGGAACGAGAGAGAGGUAAAGCCAACAAGCAGAACAGACCUACAUUUGCAGCAUCUCCAAGUUUCUGCAACAGCAUUAUGUUGUUGUUAUGUUUUGUUUUAAUAAAAGCACAUACCAUUU